UAAAAACUGGAGUACCCACUUAAAGACACGGUGACCACAGCGGAUUACCAAUCUAGGUGUUCAUCAUAAAAAUAAUCUGCCCAAGGAUUGCCUCUUAUUAUCACCACUGGACUCUUCCCAGAAUGGAGAGAAAAGCUUUGAUUAUCAUCUGCAUUUUUAUUGCAACAAUACAAAAUGCAACAACUGCGACCACAACAACAGAUUUAACAUCAUCAUCACCAUCAUCUGUUAGUACAGCUGACACAUCUACAACGUCAUCAGCAGUCACAACAACUCUUGCUAAAACAUCCACCAGUACUGUAGUUACCACAACACCAC